GAUGAACGCUGGCGGCGUGCCUAAUACAUGCAAGUCGAGCGAACAGACGAGGAGCUUGCUCCUCUGACGUUAGCGGCGGACGGGUGAGUAACACGUGGAUAACCUACCUAUAAGACUGGGAUAACUUCGGGAAACCGGAGCUAAUACCGGAUAAUAUAUUGAACCGCAUGGUUCAAUAGUGAAAGACGGUUUUGCUGUCACUUAUAGAUGGAUCCGCGCCGCAUUAGCUAGUUGGUAAGGUAACGGCUUACCAAGGCAACGAUGCGUAGCCGACCUGAGAGGGUGGUAGGCCACAUGGGAACUGAGACACGGUCAAGACUCCUACGGGAGGCAGCAGUAGGGAAUCUUCCGCAAUGGGCGAAAGCUUGACGGAGCAACGCCGCGUGAGUGAUGAAGGUCUUCGGAUCGUAAAACUCUGUUAUUAGGGAAGAACAAAUGUGUAAGUAACUAUGCACGUCUUGACGGUACCUAAUCAGAAAGCCACGGCUAACUACGUG
rnacentral:rRNA from 1 species